CUCUCAAAACUGAUUGUCGUGCCAACUGCCAAUCGCCGCCGGCGUCGGGGACUCGGGGUGGAGUCACGACGCUCGGGCAAGGCGACCGUUGACUGGUUUGCUGGCGCCGGAGGUCGAGGUGAAGGGACUCAAAAAAGCUUCACUAUCAUCGCAAAACUCCAAUUUCCGGCGAUGACACGCUGGAAAUCCGAUUGCCACCUCGGAUUCAAUUAGGGGAAAAAUGGACGGACGGGGGAAAAUUACAAUUUAAGUUUNCAAUUUAUGGAUUUCUGUUCAGACUUUUUUUGUCAUGGGAAAUAACCAAAAAUAAAAAAAGUAUAUGGUUUUUCCGGCAAUUAACCCUUAAAAUUAUUCAAAAAUUUCAAAAAUUAUUAAAAUUUCAAAAUUUGUAGAUAUUAUUUAAGAUUUUUAAGUUGAGUAAUUUCAAAAUUAUUAAAGUUAAGUAUAUAUAUACGCAAAAUUUAAAAAAUACAACAUAUAAUUAUAAGUUAUUAUAUAAGUUAUAUAUUUAUAAGUUUUUUUUUUGACAUUUGGGAGAGGGGGAGCAAUGGGGUUUGAUCCCUAGACCUUAUAUUAUAAGUUAUAAGUUAUACAUUUAUAAGUUAUAUAUUACAUGAAUAUAAGUUAUAUAUUUAUUAGUUAAGUUGAAUCACACAUUGAAAAAUGUAGGAUAUGAAUUUGAUUUAAAAAAAAUUAAAAAUUCGGCUGGAACCGGCGGUUCAGGGUCGAAAUAUAUGUGAACCUAAACCGGCCCUUAACGUUUGGCGGUUCGGCCCUGAACCGGCCCGGUGGUCAACGGUUCCGGGCUGGAACCGUUGACCACCGGGCCGGUUCAGGGUCGAACCGCCGGUUCCGGUUGGCCCUUGGCACCACUAAUUGGGGACAGGGGAUCCGAACUGGUGCCAAUAUCCCUAUUUGUAUAUCGUGAUUUCGCCAGAAGCAAUGUUAUCAUUGGUAAACUUUUUGUGAAAGCUGGACAUGAUGCUCGCUCGGAAAUUAUGUACGUGCCCAAAAACAUAUAAAGAUGACCAUUAUUUCAUUGUCAAAAUUUAAAGCUGUUGAUUUCUCUUUUGUAAAAGAGAGUCGAAUAAAUACUCCUUUUCCUUCAUCUAAACAAAGCUAAAAACAAUUCCCCUCUAGAUUUAAUACCUCAGUUUUUAAGUUUAUACGAAUUUAUAUAGAAAUCCAUCUGAAAUCUUGUAAACAAAUUUAGAAAAUUAACUUAUUAUAAUUGAAAAAACAUUAUGUUUAGGAUUUAGUAAGAAAUUCUUCAAAAAAUUGUACAUAAAAAUUAAAAAGCUUAUUUUUAUUGGAAAAUAUUAUACUAAUUGAAAAGCAUCAUUUUCAUGAUUAAGUUACAAUUUUUUUAACGUUGAUUGUAGGUUGUUCGAAGAAUUUUAUCUACAUUCUAAAAUGUUAAUGUUGAUGUAUGUUAAGUUUUGUAAUGCUCGGAUUUUAAGUAUUUUAAUUUUCAAGUUAUGGAAAAAUAAUUAGUGGGAAAACGAUAUUAUAAAUAGAAUAAUAGAAGAGUUGCAUUAAUCUUAUAGAUAGAAAUUAUAGAUAGGUUCAACCAGGGGGCUUAGCCCACUGGCCACCGGAUCCUCACUUAAGUGAAGUGACCCGGGUUCGAUCUCUUUUGGGAGCGAAUUGGAGAUUGGAGAUAUAAGGUGAAUUUCGGGUUCGAUUUUGGUGAAUGGGAGAGAUAAGGUGGUUGCUUAAUUAUAGAUAGGUUCGGUGACUAGAAGUAGAAGAAUGGCAGUUGCUUAAUUUUUUAUAGAGCCAAGCAGAACAGCAUAAUCACAUGGUACAGCCAUUGUCUUGUUAGAUGGUACCAUCAUAAAGAUUAACCAAAACCAUUAAUGAGAGAGAAAGAGUAUAUGAACAUAUAGAACUUGAGAAAUGAAAAUCUUGGUAUGGAAGAAAGAAUCUGUAAUGUUAAAUUAUCCACCAACUCAACAAGAAUAAUUUGACAGGUUCUAAUCUUAAGAUAUGAUAGAGUUUAAUGUAUUUCCAACACUGACGAGAAAUACAAAGACGUAUAUAACAAACAUUUUUUCUCACAACUGGAGACACAUACAAGUGUGCGAAUUUUUAUUUGACAAAAUUAGAAAUUCUAUUAAAUCACUUUUUAUUAUUUAUUUGUGGAUUUCUCUGCAAACUCAUACAGACAGACACUCUUCCUCCGCUCUAUUUAAAUUCUAAUUGCCAUUCAUAAUUUUGAUUAGGGAUUAUUAAACUAUAAUUGAGAAUUCAUAAAUUCUAAUUGAAAGUUAGUUCAUUUUAAUUGAAACCAUAAUCUAACCCUUUACUCACUCAUAAUUGAUAGAUAAUUACUGAUUAAUUAACACUUAAUGAAUGAUUAAUGCUUCACGAUAAAAGUUUAAAGUAACUCAAGCCAAAAUUGACGGACUCCAUUGAACCGAAUGAAAAUUCGANAUUUUGUCGAAAUUUCAUUUUUUUCGCACGAUCGCAGUCAAAAUUAUGCAUAUAAUUGAACACAAAUAUGCAUAAUGUUUGAUAGAAACAUGUAUGAGAAUAUAUCAAUUUGCGACCCCUCAUGUGUCUCUCGCUGCUGCUAGUUGUUGUCAUAGUUUUACAUACAGUUGAACACAAAUAUACAUAACGUUGGAUAGAAAUAUGCAUGGAAAUAUAUGACUCGUCACGUACCUUUCGUCGCUAUGCACCUGACGGGUCGCAUAGUGCUAUGCAUAUUUGUGUGUAACUUUAUGCAUAUAUAUGUUUAUGAAUAUGCAUAUUUGUGUUCACUUAUAUGCAUAGGACUAUGCUAGAGCAUUAGGUGGCUCUCGCCACUAUUCACCUGACGGGUCAUAUAUUCUCAUGCAUAUUUUCAUCCAACGUUAAGCAUAGUUGUGUUCAAUCAUAUGCAUAAUUUUAACGGCGGCCAUGCGAAAAAAAUGAAUUUUCAACCAAUUUUUUUUUAAAUAAUAAAAAUUAUUAUUAUUAUUAUUAUUAUUAUUAUCAUCAUCUUUUUGUAUUUUUGAAAAAAAUAUUCUUAUUUUACGCCUACGUGUAUUUUGGAAGACAUAUGUCACGUGUCACGCUCUUAGAGAGCCACAUAGUCAAAUUGUAUGGUCUAGAUUUGGACCUAUAUACUAUAAAGGGAGUGGAUACUACAGGACCUCAUCUCUGUGUAUAUAUUUCAUAAAUAUAAAUAUAUAUAUUAUUAAAUAAAUAUAAUUUAGUUUUCAAUUUUGUUCGAUUUUCACAUAAUCAAACUGAAUCGAACAAAAAAAUCGAAUUCUUGUGAAAAAUCAAAUCGAAUCAAAUUGACAAAAUCGAAAAAAUGGAACUAUAUUUUAAUAUUUUGAUUUUGAAUCAAUUCGGUGAUUCGAACUAAUUGUACAUAUAUUAAUCAAUAAAGAAAAUAUGUUCUUCUAGGUAUGCUUUUUGUCACAGAAUGAUCGACAAUUUGACCGAAUCGACAAGGACAUUGGCUACCAUAUAUAUAUAUACUCAUAUCGCUCUUUCCUCGUCAGUGUAACCCCGUUUUUUGGACCUAGGUCAAUGAUGGAGAAAAUAAUUAAUGUUUUUUUACUACUAUUAUUAAAUCAUAAAUUAGGGGCUACGUUGUUUCUGUGAAACGCGUUAUUACAUUUGUCAAUAUAAGCUAUAAUUUGCAAAAGAUAUUCCACACUUUUCAUCGCGUAAUAAGAAUUAAUAAUUCAAGGCAAUCAAUACUAAUGAUCAAAUUUUAAUUGGAUACUUUAAGGUAGAAAUCAAAGCAGAUCUCCUGCUUUGUAAACUUGACUCUUAUAUGGGCAGCAGCAAGCACGUUAUUUGACAUAGCGCACAUAUAGGCUACCAUUUUCCCACACGUAUGUAUCAAUGUAUGUAGCUAGCCCUUCAUCUUCAAUUGUUAUUGUCUUUAUUGUUUUUGUUUUGUCUUUUUCUUUUUUGUUGGCCUUUUGAUGUAAAAAGAUAAAGACUUUAUUAUUAUUAUUAUUAUUAUUAUUAUUAUUAUUAUUAUUAUUAUUAUUAUUAUUAUUAUUAUUAUUAUUAUUAUUAUUAUUUCCAAUCAUAAUUUACUAAUAUAUAUUUCUCGAAUUAUAAAUAGUGGAUUAAUUGAUAAUUUUUCCUUCCCCAACUCAAGACUCUGAAAAGAAAAAUAUACUAUUGGCAUACAUCAUACAUGUAACUAUUUAUUCUAAUGUAGUUAUAAAUUCUAGAUAAUGUACUUUCCAUAAUAAUAUAAACCGAGCAAUACUACUGUUUAGCGCACAUCUGGUUGAAUGUUUUUAGAGGUUGGAAAGGGAAUCAAGUAACUGAAUCCAUUACUUAUUGUUUGGUUUGAGUAAUGAGAUAAUCAUUAUCCUUACUUGAGGUAACCCAAUCACCCAACUUGUUACCCCUCAAAAUAGAGGGGAAAAUAGAGGGGAAACAAAAGAAAGGGAAUCCCCUACUAAUGAUUCAUUUUUAUUGUUAAACCAAACACUCAAUAAAAGUAAUGGUUAUUGUUACAAUUUCACUCAUUUGUUUGAUUUCAUUCCUUUUUCAUUACUCUACUUGAACCAAACGAGCACUUAGAGAGUAUUAACUAUUAAUUAUUUCAUUCGUUCACAAAAUGGUUAAUUUUUUGUCGAUUUUCAUUUUUGGAAACUUCUAGUUCUAUCCACAUGGUGAACUAUUUUCUUCACUUACAAUACAAUUAUGGCUCGUUUUCUAUGAAUAAUAAGUGUGAGAUAGAUACAUAUAAUACUCUAUUAUAUUGUUUGCUUCAAAACUCAAAGUUCUUUAUAAAUUAAUGACUUGUUAUAUUAUCCAUAUCUUUUGGAUUAUGUAUCACAUUUGGGAGGUGUCAUAGCGUAACCAAUUUUUUAUAUGUCUUACCAAAUACUCCCUCCGUCUCGCGAAAUUUGAACAAAUUUCUUUUCGGCACGAAUUUUAAGAAAUUAGUAUUUUGUGUGUUAAGUGUGGUAGGUGAAAAAGUGAAAAGGUGAAUAAAGAGAAAAAAAAUUGUCAUACAAGAAAAAUGCUCAAACUUCGUGGGACAACUUGAAAAGGAAUACUGCUCAAGUUUCACGGUACGGAUGGAGUAUAAUAUUGAUAUAUAAUAAAUUAAUAGAUAUCACAAUCAAAGAUAUCACAUCUUAUCUUAUACCACGUAGCAAACGAGCCCUUAAUUAUCAUUAUUAACAUUAUUUUUAAAGUGAAAUUAUAUUUUCACUCAUAAUAUAUUACUAUUAUUAUUAAAAUCUAUAUUGCCCCUUUUUAAAUUAUUUUUUGUGGACGAAUGAUAUAUUAAACAAUAUUUUUUAGUACGUCCCUUAUCACAUAAUUUUAAAUACACACACAAGCACAUAAGCAGGCGCUAAUAUUAUAUAUGAUGUAUCGUUCUCAUUUGAUGUAAUGCAUAUAUAGGGAUGAGCUACCGUGAGAGAACCUUUUAAAAUAAGAAAUAAGAACUAGGAAAAAUAUUGGAAUUUUAUGUAGAACACGUAUGAAUUCGUUGUAUAAAGGUAUGAAUUGCGAAAAAUAAUUUUUUGCUAUCUUUGGGAUUCGAACUCAUGACCAUGAAUUCAUCCAACAGGAUGAUGAAUCAACCGUAAAUCUUGAUGAUCUAAGGGUUGAAAAUGAUUCUUACUUUAUAUAUUAAGAAAUGUACUUAUUUUAGUCCUCCCCUUCAUAUAUAUAUAAGUAUUAAUAGGCAAAAAUGUCCUAUUCCUUAUGUUGUAUAUGAAAAAUAUCAUAUACGUACAAUGGCCAAUUUUUUAUUUUUUUUGCUUUAUUAAAGAUACGACAUACAUUUAAUUUAUUUUAUAAAAAAAAAACCAUACAUUUAAUUUAUAUAUAUUAUAUUUGAAUUGUUAUUAUAAAUUAAAUUAAAUAUUUAAAUAAAUUAGAAAACUCACAUAUAAAAUUUGAAUUAAUAGCCUCUCAAAAAAGAGAAAUUUUGAUGUUUCAAUAUUGUCGAUUGAAUUAGACCUCAUUCACGUAUAGUAUGAACUUAAUUGAACAGGAAGAUGACUCGUCUAUAUAUUUGAAGUAAUACUCUUUGGUGCGUUUACUUUGCGUUUACUUUGCAUGAUUGACCCGUCUCCAAUCACAUUUUUUUAUGGGAUAAAAAUUUAAAUAAAAUUAAUUUGAAUGAUAAAAAUAAUUAAAGGCCUUGGAAUAUUACAAAAUUACAACCCAUCAAAGUAAAUAAGAAAUUAGCUUUAUCAUUUUUAUCUAUACAGAGUAAUCCUCAAAAAUAACUUUAAAGUAAAGGCCCCCGAUCAACAAUUCAUCUUCAUCUCUAAGUUCAAAUUCAUUUUUGUAAUGGGACCAAGGGGGUACUAAUUUUUUUAGGGGGAUAUUUGCUGUAAAAUACACAAAUUUUCAGUAAAUUAUGGUUUUUCCCAUAACCUUUAUAAUUUGAAAAAAAAAUACAUCACUUUCGAUCUUUUCUGAUUUUUCCCACGAAUAUGAAAUACCUCCAAAUAGAAGCUAAUUUUAGGGCUUUUGACUAAGAUUUUUGAUACCCAAGCGUGAUGGGCAAUAAAAGUGGCAUACUAAAGUUGAUGCAUCGACUUAGGUAUUGGUGGACGUCGUUUUCCACCAAAUCCUGCAGAAUUAUCAAAAACUAAUUAGUAUAAUGAUAAGCAUGGUCGAUCCCACAGAGAGUAGAUAAACUCAUUCAAUUCCCCAAAAAUCUAUAAAUUUGGUGAUGCCACCACGUCUUAAAUUUGAGAAAAUUUAAUUAAAACUAAGAAUGCAAUAAAUCAAAAUAAAAAUAACUCUUGAAAUAAAUCAAUAAAAAGGUAACUCGGCUCGAAUAAAUCCACACUAAUUCAAAGUUCUGAUCAUCGACGCAAUCCCUUAUUAAAAUAUAACCUAGCUGGAUACGUCAGUCUUAUAUUUAAUAUUCUAAUAGUAUUAAGAUGAAGAAACCCAAUUUAUAUCAAUUAUCCUAAUACGUUAGUAAUAAUUAAUACACCAAUUAAUUCCUACUACGAACACGGUAGUUUUAUCACUAAUCAGCCAUAUUCCAACAAUUAUGGAUUGGAGGUACUAAUUGACUGUAAUCCAAUUUAAUCUAAGUUGACCAGGCUUAAAUAAAAUCAGAAUUAUCUUUAAACACAAGGAACUAAUCAAAAUCAAUAGGAACCAAUUUUAAAACCAAUUAGAUCUCACAGAUUAAUAAAUUAGUGUUUCAUUAUUCUCGCCGAAUUAAAAGAAUUAACUACUCAUAAUCAAAUUAGAAACAAAUAAAUAAAUUAAAGUAAACAUGAAACAAGAAAAUAAAUUAAAUUACGAAUUAAAUAAAAUCAUCACUUGAAUGAAAACAACUAAAAAUUCUCGUCUGCCUUGCUUCACAAAAAGUAGCCGCCAAUCUUCACUAAUCAACCAAAAGUAAAAACAAUUGAAAUUCCCUAAUCAACUAAGCAAUACGUGAACCGCCCAAAAAACUAAGGAAAAAGUUUAUAUAUAUCACCAAAGUCAACCAUAAUUCUCCCUUUUCUAAGUUGCGGCUAAGUGUAAAAAGAACAAGAUAAUAACCUAAUUAUCAUCUAAUUAUGCGGCUAUGUGGAGGAAUUACAAAACCAAGGGAUUAAAUAUUCCCUUGAGUGACCGAACCCUCUCCCAUAAAUGGGCUUUCGGCCCUUAACAAAAUAAAGCCCAAGAAUUAAUUAAAAAAAACGUUUUGGGCUAAAUUAAAAUCUAGACAAUUAAUUACAAGCUCAAUCUCUAAAUUUCUUUCAAAAUCACACGAACUUCAUCCAAAAUUCGACUUUCACCAUCUCUUUGCAUCCACGAGCUUCCACUCCAAAUUUCGCUCAAUUCCUACAUCCAAAAUAUAACAAACCAUGUAAAAUAAUAUAAAACCAUAGCAAAACACACACUAAACUAAGUAACCAAAAUGCACACAUCAGGUAUCAACAAAUCUAAGUCGAAAAUCCUAAAAUCCGCUUCUAUUUGAAGGUAUUUCAUACCCAUGGAAAACAUAAGAAAAAAUCGAAAGUUUGUGUAUUUUUUUUUUAAAUUUUAAAGGUCAUGGAAAAAAUCAGAAUUUGCUGAAAAUUCGUGUAUUUUUUACUGUAAAUAUCCUUUUUUAGGAAUUGUAGAACCCUAAACCCUGAGCAUAAGCCAUAUUGAAAUUCAUCAUUUUUCUCAUGAAUGAACUCAAUGCAGACCAUCAGGAGAGCCAUUGUGAUCGGGAACGGCGUCUCCGGCGCCCAAAAUCAGUGCAUCGGCUUGCUUCGAGCUUUGGGUCUCUCCGAUAGAUACACACUCUUUGUAAGCCAAUUUCUUUCUCAAUUCACGAAUUCUAUUUUGAAUUGGGCAACUUUUCAAAUUGAUUGAUGUAAAGUAUGCUACUCGUAUCUCACAAACAUGAUUCGGGUGCUGAAAUGUGCUAUGAGGCAUUGUCAUUUCUAAUAAUCUUAUGGUUUGGUCAAUAGCUGCAUUUUUCGCUCUAUCUUCUUGUGGUGUAUUGUGAUGUCUGCUCAUAAUCUCUCCAAUGAUUGCAGCGUGUUAGUCGGCCGAGAGGUGGAAUCAAUGAGAAACUUCGUUGGUUGCCAGUUAAUGUGCAUAAACGAUUAGAUGGUGCUGUUGAGUGGAUUCGUGGAAAACCAUUUCGAGCAAAGAAAUUGGUGCCGUUUCCAGCUGAGCGGAGAGGUGGUUUAGGCUCAUAAGCUCUAUAACUUUGUUUGUAUAUCUUCAUCUGUGAGAAAUUCAUGAAUUUAAUCCAGAGGAAUAUUUAUUGAUUCCCAUUUUGCGCCUCUGUGAAUGGUAUUGUCUCAGAAGUUUUAGAGGCAGAUGCAAGGCAUAUCGUGAAAGCUGCCCAGCAAACAUUUGAGAGGUGCCUUUUCUUUUUUCAAGAAUUUGAUUGUGCUUUUGAAGUCGUUUUCUAAAAAUUGGUUGGAUAGGCAUUGAUUAUUUUAAAAGCCCUAAAGAUGUUCAAUUGUCACUAUUGCAAUGCAUUUAGUAUCACCAGAUAUCUUUGAUCAAUUCUUUGAGCAUCUUGCUUCCAACCAGUCACAUCUCAAGUAUUCUCUUAUUGGUUCGUUUUCUGCUGAUGUAGUUGGUUUAGUACCUCUUGAAACGUCACUUUGCUUUUUGCAAACUUAUCAUGCUUCAUUUAUAACUCGUUUUGGAACUUGGGUUCAAUAUAUGAAGCAAUAGCUAUUUAUGAAGGAUGCUUAAAAGCAUGUCUCUGUGCAGCAUGGUCAUCCAUUUGUUAUGCUUGGAGAUCAUGAAAAAACUUGAUUGACAUCUUUCAUAGUUUAGGACAUACAGUUUGACAUAAUUAUAGGCUUAUAACUAAUAAGGGGGGAUAUAGAGAACCUGGAUGUGCUUCUGUGUGUUCUCAAGUUUCUUUCUUUUAGGGAUGGCCCCAUCUUGGUGGUUGCAUCAGGUCAUGAUACCAUCGCUAUUGCAAGCUCCAUCAAGAAGUUGGUUCCAGACAAUAUCUUUCUUGUUCAGGUAUGAUGAGGUGCUGAUCAUUAUUUAAUAAUCGGAACAUUAAAUUUAAAGACCGCAUCGCGGUGGUCUCAAACCCGAGACCUUUGGCCUCAGGCAUUAACCACUCUACUGCUAGGCCAACACACACAUACAAGGUGCUAAAUAAUUAUCCCUUUGACAUGGUCCUAGCUAUUAUGCCUUUAAACUUUUGCAAAUCCAAAAUGUGUCUUCAUAUCCUAACUAUAAUCAUAUCAUAUUUGGAAUGCUAAAAUGAACAAGAGGAGAUAUAAAAUCUAAAGAAACUUUAUUUUACAUAUAGUUCUUAUAAAGUGAAUAAUACAAAUAGGCGAAAAUAGAGUUACCUACAAUUACGUUGUGUACAAAGUUAUAUUAUUUCCUCUGGUUUUCUCUUUUCCAUUCACAAGUACGACAAUUUUUAGGUUUUGCCAGUGACUUGUUCUCUCUCCCUCAAUAGAGAUGGUCCUCGUAGUUUUGAAGUUUGUAGGGGAAGAGGAUGAAAGAUGAGUGCAAUAUCUCCAUGGUGAAGUUUUAACCUUUUCAUUUGAUGUGCAAGUAGAGUAUGGUUAGUGAAUCUGUGCUAGUUGAGAAGCAUAAUAUUACCCUUCAGGAUUUUAUAUGUUUUGCUAUUUGCUUUCAGAUACAGCAUCCAAGGUCUCGUCUUCACAGAUUUGAUCUGGUGAUAACACCUCAGCAUGAUUAUUACCCCUUAAUGCCUGAGGCACAAGAACAGAUCCCUUUGUUUCUAAGAAGGUGGGUAACACCUCGAAAGCCUCCUGAUAAACAUGUGGUAUGUUACUCCUUAAUUGGUCAAAGGAUUUCAUUCACCACAGAAACUCUUCAUCUGAAAAUAGUUUGGGUUGUCUAUCAUUUGAUUUGACAUUGAUUGUAAGCUAUAUAUAGCUGAAAAGUUACUCUUAGGUCCUUACAGUGGGAGCUCUACACCAGGCUGAUUCUGAUGCUUUGAGAAGCGCAGCUUCUGUUUGGCAUGAUGAGAUGGCACUCUUGCCUAAGCCCUUACUUGUUGUUUCCAUUGGAGGUCCUACAAGUAGGUUGUGCAUUUCAUUGUUCUGGACACUUAAAAACUUUUGACAGUGUUAGUAGGAAUCAUUGAUCCAUUACCCUGAUGUCAGCAUUUACACGUCAAUAUAAUUUUUCAAUAUUGUGUUGGUACAUUUAGAAGUUAUCAGAAGACUAAAUGCCCAUUCUUUUAGAUUAUAAAAGCUUCAAAGAGAAGGUCUGAUUGCUCUGGGUCAUCCAGGUUUAUCCUUCCCUUCUUACUUCCUUAGAUAUUAUUAUAUUAAUUAGAAAGAGUAGUAUUUCAUAAUUUGUGAGAUUCUAUUUUUUUUUUGGGUAAUGCUUAUAUGCUAUUCUCCUGUUGCACAUCCCUCGGAUUCAUCCAAAUGCAAAUGAAGCAUAGUAUUUUGUUUGUUCGAUAUGCAAACCUCUCUUGCUACAAUGCUGAAGUUGCUGAUCCAAAAUGCUUCUACGUCAUGUUUGUUCUCUCUUGCUAUCUUCAUCAUACUGCCUCUGAACUUACAUUUGUCUUGUAAAUGUUUCUUUAGGCGAUUACUCAAACUUCCUUUCUCAUAAUCUAAGAGCUCGAUUCUAGUGAUAUAUGUUCAUAAAUAACCAUUUAUAUACUGCAUUGCAUGUCAAUCUGAAUCUUACAAUUUUCUAUGUUUCUUCUUCACUUUUCACAUAUAUAGGGUUCACCAUUUAUCUUCAUGAAACCUCCUAUUAGAAUUUUCGAUGUCAUCGGAUCAGCCUUUUUCUUGAAUCUCUUUAUUCUGUAGGACAUUGCAGAUACGGUGCUGAUCUUGCAAUGCAGCUUACAGCUGCAAUGAAGAGUGUUCUUUCAACUUGUGGAAGUAUCAGAAUAUCGUUCUCUCGUCGAACUCCCAAGACUGUGCGUACUCUCUUGAUCUCUUCACAAUUUAUGUAAUUAUUUAUUUGAAGCUAAAUUCUUAGUCAUGCUGUAAUAAACAGGUAUCUGACAUCAUUUUGACUGAAUUCUCAAACCAUCCCAGAGUCUACAUUUGGAAAGGUCGAGGUAACUAAUCGAUUCUUCUCUCUUUCUGUGUCACCACUUGCAAAAGUUAUGUUUUUAUCAGAUUUUGACAGAUGUUAUCAUCUGUGACCGUCAUAUAUUUCCUUAAAUUUGAAUAAAAGAGAUUGGAGACCCUAGCACUGUAUUCACAUGACUGGUGGUUUCUCGUAAUUCUUUGACUGUAAUAAAUAUUCUUCUCUCAUUCUGUUUCCUUUUUUCUUUUCUUCCCUGAUUUGCUCUCCUCUCAGGGAAAACUUUUCUUUUGUAAUUGGCUUCGCUUGUUGCUUUUGUUUGUGUUCUACCGUGUUGUUCUUUUUCUACAUUACCAUAUGAAGGUGUAACUGUUGUUAACAUUGUCAAUAGUUUUGAAGAAUAUCUUUUACUACAUAAAGGCUUUGAUCAGUCAAAUCAAUAGAUUAUUAUCAGUGAAUUUUCUCUUCAAGAGCUAAUCUAAAUUGCAUUGUAUGAUAUCUUCAGAUCCAAAUCCACAUAUGGGACAUUUAGCUUUAGCAGAUGCUUUUGUAAUUACAGCCGAUUCAGUAAGCAUGUUGAGUGAAGCUUGCAGCACAGGGUAUGUGGCUGUGUAGAAAUUUACUCCUUCAGUCUAUCUUAUUGUUUUAACAAAGUUUGUAUUUCAAUAUCUGGAUUGACACUGCAGGAAGCCUGUGUAUGUAAUUGGAGCAGAGCGGUGUACAUGGAAGUUUUCGUACUUUAUCAAAACCCUGCAGAGUAGAGGAGCAGUUCGACCAUUCACCGGCACAGAAAAUGUAAGCAAUUGCUACCUACAUCCUUUGGAAUUCUUUUGGCCCCUAAAACAUGAAAGCGAAAGGUUUCAUUUGAAAACUAAUUUCGCAAUUAUCCACUAAUAUCGACUCAGAAUUUAGAAAAUGGUAUAUCUGUAAACUGGUUUUUGCAGAUUUGUGAGAAAUGGGAGUAUGUUCCACUUGAUGAUACAAAGAAGGCUGCUGGUGAAGUGAUUAAGGCAGUUGCUGAACGUGGAUGGAGAUUGCUGCCUCACUCAGAUCUCUCAUAAUUUUAAGAGUAUCUGAUAAAGGCAAAGGAUUCUUUCAUUUGUACCCUCUUGUAUUUUCUAGCCAUAUCAAUUUCUUCUUCUUCUUCUUCUUCUUCUUUCUGUGUGAUUUCAUUUUACUCAUUAUCGUUCUUUUGGACAUUGUCUUAUUCACCCUUAUUUUGUGAAAUUACUUGUAAGAUAUUGAAUAAUUUAUUGGCUUUAAUAUUCUUAUCAAGGUAUUGUUUUAUCUUUGGACAAAUAUCAUCUUAUGUCCCCACAUACCGAUUUUUCUAAAAUUUAUUGAUUUUUGAUUAGUUACGAUUUCAUACCUAUCGUUUCAAAAAAAAUUAUAUUUGUGUGCUAAAUGCUAAAUGUUAAUGAUGUGGACUACCAAUGCAAUUGCAAAUUAGAACUCUCGCAUAUGGUGGUCAAAGAAGUUUAAAAGAUUGUCUUUAUUAGAUAGUACUCCCUCCGUCCACGAAAUGAGUACCCAUAUUUCCUUUUUCGUCCGUCCACGAAAUGAGUACCCAUUUCCCUUUUUGGCAAGUGUACCCCACACAUCUCUUUAAUUAAUACACUCAAAAAGUGGGACCCUUAAACUAUUCAUACUACACUCCAUACAUUUCUUAAAACCCGUGCCGUCCACAAAUGGGUACUCAUUUCGUGGACGGAGGGAGUAUAACAAAUUGCCUCAUAGUGGAUUAGGGAAGGUAUUUGGUGUUAGUUGACUAAUUAUUCUAAUAGGCUAGCUAAUUUUCUUAUGAUUGGGACAUUUCUUAUGUCAGCCAUGCAUCUCUCUAAAAUAAAUCCCUUUUGACUUGUGAGGCUGUGACAUAAUUCCCAACUAGCAACUGAUAUUUGCAAAGUAUGUAUAUUUGCAUGAUUGAAUCUACUCCUUAAUCUAAUAUCACAAAUUCAAAAAGUGAUGAAAUUAAUAUUCUCUCCCUCAACAGAAAGCGCAGCAACAACUCUUCUUGCUAGCUCCAUUAUCUUUACACUGCUGCAUCAUCCCAAGUUUUAAUUCCUAAACCAAACAAAAUCACUAUAUAUAGAGCCACAUUUCCUAUUUGCAAUGCAUCACAAAACAGCUCUUGCUCAAUCUUAAUUAAUUCAUUCAUUAAUUCCAAACCAAGAAAAGAUCAAUGGAGAAAAGUGAGGCCGCCACCAUCGAAAUGGGCGACACAAGCCGGGAAAGCAAAGGGAAAGCCCUCUUCUCGCCGCCGCCGUCCACAACAAUCGUGCGGCCGCCGGAUACAAGAGGGGCGCCGCGGUGUUCGACCUCAUCCUCCGCGUGUGCGCGGCGGCGGCAGCUAUGGCCGCCACCAUCACGAUGGCGACCACGGAGCAGACGCUUCCCUUCUUCACUCAGUUCUUCCAGUUCCAAGCCAGCUACGACGAUCUCCCUACUUUCUCGUCAGUCACCACAAUCAUUUGCAAAUUAAAACUCUCGUUUUUCGCAUUGAUUUUCAAUUUAAACGGAGUUAUGCCUUUUUCAGAUUCUUCGUUAUAGCGAUGGCGGUGGUCACCGGUUACCUAAUUCUGUCGGUGCCUUUCUCCAUUGUGUGCAUUGCUCGCCCUGCUGUGAUGGGGGCCCGCCUCCUACUCAUUGUUUGCGACACAGUAAGCGCGCGCUCUCUCUCUCUCUCAUGAUUUUCUCUCUCUUUCUCUGCCUGAUUUUGAUGGUGAUCGGUGCAGUUGGCAGUUACCUUGGCUACUUCAGCGGGGGGUGCGUCGGCGGCGAUAGUGUACCUGGCCCACAACGGCAACUCCGACGCCAAUUGGCUCGCUAUAUGCCAGCAGUUCAAUGAUUUCUGCCAGAGGGUCAGCGGCGCCGUCGUCGCCUCAUUCGUCACCGUCGUCUUGCUCAUUUUCUUAGUCGUCAUCUCCGCCGUCGCUCUCAGGAAACAUUAAUCUCGGAUUUGCCUUUUACAUGUCCAAUUGUCUAUUGUUUGCUGUCAUUUUUAUUUCUAUUUUGUUUCUCAUCUCUAUUGUUGUAUUUCUGCAAAUAUUGUAACUCAAAUCACAUUAUACCACAUUUGUUUGCAUCAUAUUGUCGCCACAAUUCCCAAAAUAUUAAUUAAAAAACGUCAAUGAUAUGCAAAAUACAUUAAGUUUUCCGUAAAUCGUACAUAUUCUUAAAACUAGCCACACAAUUCAUAAUUUUUUUUGAAAUAAUUUUUUUUUAAAACUUAAAUACUCUAGCUCAGUUCAUUUGCAUGAACAGUGAUUUUAAAUGUUUAAUUUCCAUAUAAUAUGAUACACAGUUUUAAAAUUUCUUUAUUUACUUGUAUAACUAAUCAAAAAUAUAUAUAUUCAAUAACACAUCAAUAUUUCACAAAUCAAGUCCAUUUUUGACAUGUGUAAUUAACUUUGGAGAGUUUCAAUCACGUGACAAAAUUAACAAAUUAAAAAUUAAUACUAUAUUGUAUCACAACGUUUUAAUAAUUAAGUGAAAUUCCAAAAAUACCUUAUGUAGUGCAUAUAUUUAUAGGUGAAUAAUCCAAAAUAAAAUAGUAUAGUAAUUAAAAAGAAAACAAAUCCAAGAUGACACUAUCUUUAAUUACAAUUACAAAAAGUAAUACCAAAAAUAGAAAUAAAUGGAUACUCCAAUAGCUAAACACACCAUGUCCCAAUCUCCCUCCCUCCUCAACUCUCUCUCUCUUCUCUCUUUCUUCAUCUCCUCGAACUCUGCGUACCUCCGCCGCGCCACCGCCCCCCUGUUCUUCCCGGCGCCCUUUUUGCCCACCAACGCCCCCUGCAAAAUGACUACACUCUCCUUCCCAUUCAAAUGCUUCCCGUCCAUGUCUUCCAUCUCCAGCCUCACUCCCUUCACCUCCAUCUCGCCGCCGCACGUGACUACUAUCCCGCACUGCACGUGACCUCCGUCGCCGCCCAAUAUCGAUCCAAAUCGCACCUCCAUUUCCCCCGUCAGCCAGUGCCGCCUCACGGAGACGGGCUCGUGCGACGACAAAUUCGCCGCCCGCCUCCCCGCCGGAUCAAUCAGAAUCCAGCUCAGCGUCAUUCUAUCCAGAAUUCCUUCAUGCAUGCCGGCACCGUCGCCGUCGGAGAUCUUGACGGCGGCGUGGGCGGAGUCCUUGAGUUCUAGAAGGUCGACCCGGAAAGGCGACCACCGGAACCAGUCGCCGCCUGUUUCGGUGGAGUGGAGCUUGGUGAAGAUUAGUUUGCCGUCGUAAUGUAUGUCGACGGCGGAGAGUAUCUCCGGCGGGGCGGAGGAAGGGUGGGUGAUGGGGCGUUGGGAGAGGAGAGGAAAUGCGUGAGAGAAAAAAGCACGGGGGCCGCCGCCGGGGAAGGUGGAAAGGAGUUGGGUGAGGCGCGGAGAGGCGGUGGCCGGCCAUGUUGAGUGGCAUAUGCUGAGCCAUAGGUUGUGGUGAGAGGCCUGACGGCGGAGAGCGGUGGAGCAGCACGCGGCGGAGGCGAGGGCUGGGCCGUUCAAACGGCUGAGGAUGUGGGAAUCGAUGAUUUCGGGGUGCAAGGUGUGAAAGCCGGCCGCGGCGCCGGCCGGUGGCGGAGGAUUCAUUUCUUUUGGCAGUAAAAAUGUGUAUUAUUUGAAUAAUUAGGGAACAUAUGAUUAUAUAGUAAUUGCAACUUGAGAAUGAGCUUAUUAUGACCCAAAACGCCACUUCUAGUAUUCAAGAUCAAGAGAUUGCACAAGUAAUACUAUAUUUUUAAUUUUUAUAAAUAAAUUGUAACAUGACCAAAAAAUAAUGACCGGCUUUUUAACGCUAAUCUUGUUCUUGUCUAAAUUUGAUGAUUCUAUUCUGCAAAUAUAAAAUUAUAAAGUCGUUGUCCGCAAAUUUGUUUAGUGCUUAUGUGCGUAAUGCGGUGGUGAGUAACAUCAACACAUUUGCUACGUUUGAACUGAUUUUUGUUUUAAUCUAAUUAAUUAUAUAUGCGAGUGUCGUGUUGGAUUUCUAAUUUCUCUUAUUUUAAGGGAAAGUCUAAUUUCGUGAGUUCAAACUCAAACUCGCUACAUAAUAACUUGUGUAAGAUAAGAUUUGCAUAACCAAAUUUUAUAAGCAUAAACAUAAGAGGAAAUUACAAUCAAUGAACUACAUGAUAUUAUUAGUGUGUACGUCAUCAAAGUCAAGUAGUUGUCUCAACAACUUCAACUUGAUCACAUCUAAAGCGUAGAAACCUCAACUAAUUUAGCUAUAACAAUUUUUUUUUAUUUAGCUAAUUUGUGGGUGGACACAAUGUGCCUAUUUAGCAUCAAUCUUUUCAAAAAUAGAUUACGAAAAUAUUUUGGAGAAAAAUAAAAAAGAAAAUAAAUGAAGAUGUUUCAGAGACGGAUGGAGUACUAUGCAAUAAUAUAAGUCAAUGAAUAACACAUUGCAGUAGAUAAAUGACAUGGUCUACUGGAAGAGGAUCUUAGUUCAUUUCUUCAAGCAAGAACACAUCAAGCAUUCACCUUAAAGAAAUGAGGAACCUCAAAAUAAAAAAUCUCAAAUAGUAGCUAGACCACAUGGCAUUAUAAUAGUACCUUUGGAAAAAUGAUAAAUCAAUAUUUCCUUCUCGAGCUAGAAUUGUUUGCGCCUCUGCAUCAAAUGUUCUGCCCAGAAUGUCAGAUGCUAUCACGAAGCAAAACUAGCUAAAUGUUCAUACAAAGAAAAUGCCAGCGUUCUAGUUUGCAGAACAAUAUAACAGAACGAAGCAAUGACCGGAACAAGUUACUGUGGCCAAAAAGAUGAUGCCCAUAUCAACCUAUCAUAUAAGGAGAUGCUACAUACCAUUAAGCGAGCAACCGAAUUUGCAUGAUUUACAAGCAAGAAAGCAAGAAACUGCAGGGAAGCUAGUCGGCUAGUUCCAUCUAUGGCAAUCAGCAUAUGAUGUUGCACGUACAUCCCUGUAAGCAUUUCAAAGAGAUAAUAAACUGAAGAAAUAAUUUCCUGACUGCUGCUGUGGAUAAAAAAGUCACAGAAACUUCUAAAAUCAGGACAUUGACAUAUCGACUCAAGGUAUCAAACACGGAAUACACAUUAGUGUUAUCUAACUAUACCUGCAGAUGCAAAACAACUGUGGCCCCAAUUUUCUGAAAGACCCAAAGCCACUGUCGCUAUGGCAAUGUCAAUUAAAGAAGCAUCCACUACAAAUGAUUAUAGAGAGAGACUGGUGAAAAACAAAAGAUAGCAGGACUUGGUGGUAUGCGCUUUUAGCAUUGACUAUUACUGCAGAAGUUAAUAAGUACUCAAUUCAGCUAUAGUUUCACUAUGAAAAGAUAAGAGCAUUCUCUCUCUUGCCUUAAAUAAUAUACUUCAAAAUCAAGAGAAGAUUUAAGUUACCACCUUAGCUGCUGCACAUGGAAUACAAGAUGCCAUAGCUGCAUUUCUGCAGUAGCUACAUUUCCCAAUGUGAACAGCAUGCAUGGAUAGAAACAACAUGAGCAAAGAAUAGAAUUCAUCUCCAAGCACCAAAUUCUAUUGAUUGCAGCGACAUGUUUCCAAGAAAUAAGUCUUUUACAUGCUUUUUACAUAAUCCUAUUCUCCUCCUAUGUAAGCUGGGAUGUAUAGAACUUGAAAAUCCAGUCUUCCAAGCUGGAAAUUUUUGUCUUUCCAUUACAUGAAGAGUAUAAACACAAGAGACUGAGGCUGAGCACCCUAUGGCGAAACAAUAGCAAGGACGUGACUCGCUCACCAUUCUAGCCAAUGACAAUGAACAUAAACCACUGUAUUGUAUUCCAUACAUUAAGGCACCAUCAAAGUUAGAUUCCAGAGAAAUCAGUUCCGUGUUUUCUUCCUCAAGUUCAAUAUCUUGAGUUGAGGGGAUUCUACUCAGCUGUGAAUCAAAUUUCUUCUCUAUAUCUGCCUCAUGAAUCCUAUACUUCACAGCUAGUGUUCGGAUGCAUGACAUUCUUACUUGAUCACAGAUUAUCUUCUUCACUUCGUUGAAGUUGUUGCAUCCCCUGUACCAUCUUAGCCAGCGGUGAACUAUCCCUGUAAACCAAUCAAUAAUUUGGUCCUGAUCCAGUAAGAUUAGUACAUAACAUGGUCGAGCAUAUCCCUCCCUAUUAGUCAAUCCAUAGCGAUGAAGACGUUUUGUUAAGAUGUUUAGUGGGACAACAGUUUCUGUUAUAGAAAGAGGUUGGGGUGAAGAAUCGGAGCCAGUUAAAAGAGCAAGUGUCGCAGAUGUCUCAGAAUCAACAUAUUCUUUAGCUCGUUUCUGAAACUCAAAGUAAGCAUCUCUUAUUCUGGUGGAAGAGCCGGUUCCACAACAAGCUUACGUUAACAGUUUUUCUUCAUUCCCUGCACUUUUAGCAUUUACAUGCUGCAUCCAUAUUUUCAGCAACACCUUGUACCAGUGUCUGUUUUCAUCCCAGAUCUACGAUAGUAGGAAAUCUGAUGUAAAAUGGAGCUGCUAUCAGCUAAAUGUUUGAUCUCUGACUCUUUAACCUUUUUUAGUCCAUGAGCCAGCCAUUUCUUCCCAAUUCUGAGAGCUCCUGCAUCCCAAGACUCUUGUUUCUGUUCAGCAAAUAUUUUGACUUUGUCCUUUAACUUGUGAACAGCCCGUAAAGCAGGAGUCUCUUUCAUGCGCCUUCUGAUCAAAGUACCAAGAAACUUAACACCACGUGGAUCAUUGGAUGCUAAAAUAUCAGCUUGAUCAUCUACCUCCAAGUAGAGAGAAUUCUUUAAGAACCCUUCAAUUUCAGACUUGAACGUCAAAGCACUUCUUUGGAACCGAAAAGGCAAAAAAUAUCUCAUCCAUAAAGCGACAACAAUGCACCCUCACACCUGAGUCCUUUCCAGAAUCAUGUUGUUGCAAACUACUGCCACUCAUCUGUUUCCUAAACCAGCCACGGAGCUUUGAGUGCGACUUCUGCUCUUCAGACCUAACUGUGUACGAAGUCUCAUAGUGCAUUGACAUCUUGUAUACCUCACGGUCAAAGAGAUCAAGAUAUAUGUUCAUCAAUAUAGGUGACAGGACCCCUUCUUGUGGAAGACCGUGUCCUUUAGGAAAAGACCCGAACUCUAUAUUGAUCACUCUGGCUUUAACAUAUCCUUUAUAAUACCACAUAAAACUGGAUCUUCUAUCUUAUCCUCCAUUGUUGACAGGAGUUUUCCAAGGAUGCAAUCAUCAAGAUUUUUGUUAAUGGGCAAAGUGAACCACCAGUCAGGAUCAGGUAUCUCUUUGCGUAUAUAUUUCAAUGCUGACCAAUGAUCCCUAUUACUUCGAAGACCGUGGGAAAUCCUAGAGAAGUGAGGGCGGUAAACAACUUCCAAGACUAUCCUAAUAGCCUCUUGAACAACCCUUAAUUUCAGUUCUGGUAAAACUAGUUCCUCUUUCUUGACCUUUGGCCUCUAGUCCGUAAUGAAUACGUAUUAGCCCCAACAUCAAACUUUCCGUCAGCUAGUUCUUCUGCAAUGGACAAAAACGGCAAGUUAUCACCAUCUGAUGCCAAAUCAACAUUAGAGGUCAAUCUUAUACAAUCAUAUGCAUCCUUUAGAGUGUUGGGGUCGGCAAUCACUUUCAUCAUGAGGUCCUGGUAUUUCCCAUUCCUGUAUUGUGCUUUCACCUUCUUCUUUAUUCGCAUCUCAAGAAACCUUUUGAUCUCCACACAGGUUUUUUGUUUUGAUUUUUUGUUGGAAACUUCAUAAGAUUCUUGAACCAAGGAUGCCAAAUUCUUAGCCAGGGCUAUUUUUUCGGAUCUUUCAUCACCACAAUAGCUUUCUUGCCUGGCUUUGUCGGGUGAGUUUGAGGACUCCUCCAACAAGUUAACCAAAUUCUUGGCCAGUGGAACUUUUCUAAUUCCAUUACCACCUUCACAAUACUCAGUAGGCGGUUGAUUUGCAUCCCAGGUUGAAUAAAAUGUAACAGGCAGAAAUCUUCGAGCAGAGCUCCCUGGCACAAGAUUCUUCAUAAUUUCAUUACAUAAUCUCCAAAGAAAGCAAAAGAAAAAUAGCAACAACUUUUAAAGGAAGAUUGAAGAUUCGACAAAGGCAAUACGGUUUAAUCUAAAGGAUGAAUGACGAAAGAUAAACAGGUAACAAGUGUAUGGAGGCUUUACCGAUAGUGGUCACAGGCAGAAAGAAGUUGGACUUAACACGAGAAAGCUUUCUUAGCAGUCGGUGAGAUUUCGCGAGCAUGGCUGCUCCCUGGAGUUUUACUAUCUCAUUUCCUAGGCAUUUUUUCGAUGAGAACUCAGCUGUCAUGAAAUUUAAAGCUCUAGCAGCCUCAACACACAAAUAGGGGGUAUGGCAUAUUCACUUUCUCAUAGACAUUUCAACAAACAAGUAGCGGAUUGAAAAUUGCUUCCAACUAAAGUGAGAGGAUGUUUAGCCAGAUUACCUCUUUGGUUUUAGAGGUCCAGAAGCUUCAUUCUUGGUUUUUCUGUGCCCCUCCAACAACUUUUAUGUCAAUGGCCAUCUCCAACCCAGACUCAUAACCAAAAAUGUAGUAGAAUCUUUGUUCCAACCGCUACCCAAAACGCAUUACGUGCAAUUCAAUCCUAAAUUUAUAUAAAUUAGAAGAAGGAGUGGAGCAAUGAGAAGAAAAAGAAGCAGAGUGAAGCAGCGGCGAUGAAUUGCAGAAGGAAGAAGAAGAAGCAGCGCUGUGAUGGGAAGAAGCUGGACUGUUUGUUUUAUAAUUUUGCAUUUUCAGUUAUUGCCUUUAAUUGACCUAUUUUUCUAAAAUGCAUUGUUGAUUUACUAUGGACUUUUAACUUAGGAAUAUUUAAAUUAAUUAAAUAUAGUAUUUAAUUAUCAUAUAAAAUAUGAACUAUGCUUAAACGCAAAAAAAAAAAUGACAAAUUCAUGUGUAAACUAGAAAGUUAUAAAUAGCUAAUUAUGCCUAAAUUAUCAUCAUACUAUAGUAUUCACAUAAAUAUCACUACUAUAAUAUUAAAAUAAAAAUAAUAACAAUAAUAUAAAUAUUAUACGGGCAAAAUGAGAUAUACAUAAAAAGACAAAACCUAAAACAUACUCAUUAUUUAUAAAAUAAUAAAUUAUGCUCAUUUCUGUUUCAAAAAAUAAAUAAAUUAUACUCAUUUAGGACAUUUUUAUCCUUAUGUACAAUUCGUACAUUGUUCGACACUGAAGUGUCGAGCAUCAUUGUCCAGUGCUCAAGUGUCGAGUUUGUCGAGCAUUUAAUGUUGAACUCUUGCUCGACACCUCGAGCAUCCAGCAUCGAGCAUUGCGUGUUGUCGAGCAUUGAACCUAAUUCAAAUUUCAGGCGGAGGAGCAGCGCAGUGAGGCGAGGCGAAAGAGCAGCUCGGCAAGGUGAGGCGAGGCGAGGCGUGGCGAGAUGGUGGGAGACCCAACAGAUCUGGACACACACACACACAUACACACAGAUAGAGAGAGAGUCGAGCUUGUUGAGCAACUAUUGUUGUUCUAUAUCGCUCGACUUGCAAACUUUGCUCGACAUGUAUGACUUGUCGAGCAUGUCGAGCAAUUGUUGUUGUUCUACAUCGCUCGACUUACAAACGUUACUCGGCAUGCUCGAUAAAAGUUGUAAUGGGUAAAAUUCAUAUAAGAUCAGAGCAGAUAAUAUCGGAUAACCAGAGCAGAGCAGCUCUGGAAAACUAGAGCAGAUCAGCUCUGGAAAACCAGACGCAGAGCAGCUCGGAUGACCAGAGCAGAGUAGCUCUNNNNNNNNNNNNNNNNNNNNNNNNNNNNNNNNNNNNNNNNNNNNNNNNNNNNNNNNNNNNNNNNNNNNNNNNNNNNNNNNNNNNNNNNNNNNNNNNNNNNNNNNNNNNNNNNNNNNNNNNNNNNNNNNNNNNNNNNNNNNNNNNNNNNNNNNNNNNNNNNNNNNNNNNNNNGUCAGACCAGAGCAGACCAGAUACUGAAUGACCAAGUAAAGCAGCUCUGGAAGACCAGAGCAGACCAGAUCUGGAUGACCAGAGCAGAGCAGAUCGGAAGACCAGAGCAGACUAGAUCUGAAAGACCAGAACAGAGCAGCUCUGGCAGACCAGACCAGAGCAGCUCGGAAGCCAGAGCGGACAGCUCGGAUGACCAGAGCAGAGCAGCUCUGGAAGACCAGAGCAUACCAGAUCUGGAAGACCAGAACAGAGCAGCUCUGGCAAACCGGAGCAGAGCAGCUCGGAAGCCAGAGCGGACAAACUGUAGUGGGCAAAUUUUGUAUGGCCUAUUCGAAUAAAUAUUCGCGGCCCAAGCACCUAACCAAAUUCAAAAAACUGAAUUAAUUUCAAUUAAUUCAGCCCAACCCGGUACUUUAGGUCAUCAAGGCCCAUCGACCCAAACCCUAGAUAAGGCAGCGACUUGGGGAGAAAGAAAUGAAUGAGGUCAGGGAUACGAUCCCCGAAGAUCGGAAUGACUAGGUUUAAGGAGACGUGCCAGCAAAACCCUAGCCGUCAGGUGAUCACGGUAUAAAUAAGAGCCAACUAGGUCAUUCGACCCACACGACCAUUCGCACUCCAACACGUUCUCUCACUCUCCUCUCUCCACUCGCACUAUUCUGUCUCCACGCUCUCAGUCUUAGGUUUUUUGGUGAUCGGAUCAACCGGGACGACCCAACGACCCUCGCUCAUUGCUCAAUCGCCUUCAGCUCCGUCGACCAGAUCGACCCGAUUUACUCUUUCAUUUACUUUCAAUUACUUUCAAUACGAUUUUUAUUAAUAUUGUUUACUGACUUGAGCGUCGGAGGCCCUUCCAUCGACACCCCCAUCGGUGCUCUUCAGAGGGCUCUAACGUUACUUGAGGUCUCAGGUUGCUAGUGCCCAUCGAUCCAGACGUGACUAACGUCACUUUCGUAAUUGUCGGAUUCAUCCCCUACAAAAGUCAAGUAUGUCGAGCAACAGUUCUAAAUGCUUAAUGCUCGACAUGCUCAACUCCAAGUGGUCGAGCAUGUCGAGUAUUUGUUCAUAUCCCACCUAUGCUCGAGAUGCUUGACUUGUCGAGCAUGCCGAACAAAGUUCACGAUUCAAGCAAUGUAGAACAAACACACGAAUCUUCGAAAGAUAUCAACUGCAAUUCAAUAAUGUUAUUCAUAAAUCAUAAAAAUAGCUCUAAUAACCAUAACUAUUGUAUAGAAUACCUCAAUAUACUUUCAAACCACCGGAUUAAGUACGAAUCGAAGAAACCCAAUAUUGAAGAAGAAGUUUUCUGGGUUUUGAAAGAUAAGUAUUUUGUAAAAUUUUAUUUUGUGUUUGAUUUUCAAUUUGCAGAGGCGGGAGGCCAUGGUGGAAGCACGGUGCAGCUGGGCAGAGGGGGAAAUCGGCGGUGCAGCUGGGCGAAGGGAGAAAUCGGUGGAAAGAGAGAAAAAGAAGGGAUUGCGAUUUGGGAGAGGGGAAGAGUGCUUGUUUGGGAAUUCUCUUUUCUGUAAGGGUAUAAGUGUCAAGUUUUUCAAAAAAUUGGUAUUAUUUGUGUGGGUAUUUUUUUGUUUUUAUCUUUGAGAAUGGGUAUUCUCCACCAUUAACUCAAAAGUAUAUAUCCCUCCGUCCACGAAAUGAUCAGUAUCCAUAUUUCAUUUUUCGUCCGUCUACGAAAUGAGUACCCAUUUCCCUUUUUGGCAAGUGUACCCCACACAUCUAUUUAAUUAAUACACUAAAAAAAUGGGACCCUUAAACUAUUCACACUACACUUCAUACAUUUCUUAAAACCCGUGCCGUCCACAAAUGGGUACUCAUUUCGUGGACGGAGGUAGUAUGUAUUAAUGUAUGUUUAUAAAGAACUCUACAUUAAAUUCAAAUUUUAAUUUGCUGAGUUCACUACAAAAAAAUAUCCUACAAAUUUUUUUAAUUCAAACCUAUUACUCUAUUAAAUAAAGAAAAUUAAACGAAAACAAAAAAAGUUACAUUACAUAAUACUGAGAAUUUGAUUGUAGAAAAAAAGAUUCAAAUUAAUUUUACUUAUUAAUAAAUAAUAAAAUAACAUAUAUAUAUAUAUAUAUAUAUAUAUAUAUACUAUUUUUUUGAAAAAAAUCAAUGGGACCCACUACCCCACGAACCUAUAUGACUCUAUCACUACAUGCAGAAAUAUAUAAAAUUAAUGAAGAAGAGAUAAUAAAAUUGAAUAAAUGAAUAUAACACAUGCAAAAUCACAUUAUGACUGGCAAUCACUUAUAUGUGUUAUAUUUAUUUAUUCAAUAUGAUCAUAUCUCCUUUAUAAUUUUAUAUAGUUAUGCAUAUUCUCCCUAGAUUUUAUCCCUUAAAAAUGUAUUUUGUUCUCUAUAUAAUUAUAUCUUGAUGGCCUACUUCAAAUAUUGUAUUUUGUAAUGACAUUUCAUUCGACUUAUAAUGCACAAAUAAAUGUGCCCCUUUUUUGUUCUUUCCUUAUGAAAAGACAAUGAAAAACUGAUUUAUAAUGGAUAUAUAUAAAUAUUGAGACGAGUCCCAACAUUCCACCUUAACUUCCCUUAUGCUAUCUACAUAAUAUUAUGACAUUAGCAUCUGCAUUCCAUGCAAUGCACGUGAAAUAUUUUUAUAUUUUUACAACAUAAUAAUAAUGAUUGAUAUAAUAAUCAAUUGUUCAACGUCCACAAAUAAGAUUCAUUAUCUUACAACAUCUCCAAUAUCCAAUUUAAGACUUGGAUGGACCACCAAUCGAAAUCUCACACUAAAAUUGCCUCAAGAGAACAAUGUAAAGCCAUAAUUCUCAAGAAAAUACUCCCACAUUUGCUUGGUUUGGUACCACGAACUUUAUAGCUAGGCAAUAAGUUGUUCUUAUCAAAUUUUAAAUCAAAUAUUUAAUAUAAAAUAUUAAAUACAAUCUUUAAAUAAAUACAACUUUUACAUUUUAAAUCAAAUAUUUACAUAAAAUAUAUCAAAUUAAAGCUCUUAUCAUGAUUUUUAAUUAGACAUGCAUAUUUAAUAUUUUGUAAUUAGUUGAAUUUUACAAUCUUAGAAAGAAAUAAAACAAAAAAAGAAGAUGAAAUAAAGGAAUAAAAAGAAAAAAUAUAGAUUACUAAUAAAUAUUCAAUUUUAAUAUUUUAUUAUAACUACAAAAUUAACAUUAGAAGUUGCCAUUUUAAUAUAUUAUAGAUUUUGACGUUGUAAUUAUUACUCUUAUGUAUGUGUAAGUAGUGAUAUUACAUUUGACAAGUAUUAGUGUAUACUACAGUGUAGAUAUUGCAUGAAACCGAAACACAAUAUAGAUUAAAAAAUUGAUUAGCGCCGCUUACCACACUAUACAUAUUUAUCUUUUUUUGUUGAUACGUAAUGACUAAUUAAAUCAGCUAUCGAGGUGACUGCGUACGUGUAGUCUGUAUUUACUGCUUUGUACUCAUCCCUUAUUCAUGAACCUCACAUGCUCUCAUUUUCUUCUAUUUGUUUAUUGCAUUAUUCUUUCUUUAUUCCAUUAUUGUGAGCACUUUUGCAGCAUUUUAUUGGCUCUCUCUCUCUCUCUCACACACACACACACACAGUUGACCCCAGCCUUUCCAUCCCAUCUUCUGAGCUUAGUGUUUCAAGAUUGAAGAUCUCGUGGGUUUUACGAAUUUUGAUUUUAUAUCUUUACAAUAAUUAAUUCUUGUUAGUUGUUUUACAGUUAGAUCUGGGAUAGUGAUGGUCAAUUUCUGCAGCAUAUUUUAUAUUUUUCGUCUCAAUAGUGGAUUGGCUCUUCUAAUUAAAUUAAAUACGUACCCAGAGUCAGAAAUACAUAGUACGUAUUUUCUUAAUUCAAAUCAAUAGUGCUGUAGAUUGCCGGAUCACAUCAAUAAUUUAUUUGCAUGGUUCUCUUUCGUUUUUAAAAAGCGAAAACUUAAUUGCUGUUAGUACUAUUUAUCUCAUUUAUGGAACAUUCAGUUUGAUGAAAUGCUUCGUCUUUACAGCAAUACUCGCAAGCUACAAACAUACUGGAUAUAAAUUGACCAUUUCAAAUAUUAUAUGACCAAAUAGAUUUAAAAUUGUUGUAUUCGUCAAUAUAAUAUGAGAUGGGCAAGAAGAUUCUAGUUUUAUUUCUAAUUUUAUAGAUUUAGGGCAUGUUUGAUUUUCAGUAAAGGAUUAUGUAGGAUAAUUUGUAACCAGGAUAUUUAGCGUGGAUAAUGACAUAUUAUUAAUACUGAGUUGGUGUUUGCUAUCAUGGCUAAAUACAGAAUAUCCUGGUUUAAGUUAAUCCUAUUGGGGAGGUAGUAUUAUUAAUGUUGGUUAUUCCCACAAAAUAAUACAGAGAGGUGGGAUAAAGUUGGAGUUGACCGUAUUAAUAUAACAUAAUACCAAACACUACACAAAUCUGUAUUAACUUAACUUAUCCUGGAUAUAAACCAAUAUCAAACAGGCCCUUAAUGGUAAUCCAUGAUUAAGUAAAAUCGGAGCAUAUAAUUUACAAUGAAACUUCGGAGCUGGCUGGCUACAAAAGCGGCUUUCGCAGUGAUUGGAAAGCCUUAACAGUGCUUUAGCAUUCACUUGUUCACAAAAAGGAUCGUUUUUGGAAGAUUUGGAAUUGGAACCUCUCAAGAAUCUCAAGAGCUCAAAGUAUAAAAAAAUUCAAUAAAAUCUAUCAAUAGGAUUUAGUUUUUGACUUAUUGUCCACUACUAAAAGUGUUGGAUACCAUAUAAAAUUAGAUUGAGAAUUCGAGCUAAUCUAUAACUUAGUUGAUCAUAAAAGAUGACUAGUGGAGUGGCCUCCAUUAAAGUAGGAAAAUAAAUAAACCACACUUGGCCUCCUCAACUAUAUAUACCUAUGUUCUACCAUUAGAGCUUCUCAUCACUCCCAAAUCCCAAUCCCAACCAUCUCUCUCUCUCUCUCUACAAAAAAAACAAAAUGGAUUCUCAAACUGUCUCUUCCUCUUUCAGUCUUGAGCUGAGAAUAGUAAAGGCAAGAAACGUUUUUGUGAAAACAUGUAGACAAGUUUUUGUGAGAUGCUAUAUCUCUACAGAAAGCAACAAAAGAGUAAGAAUAGACAGCCAAGAAAUCUCAUCAGAUUCCAACUUGACUUGGAAUCAAACAUUUUCACUAAACUGCUGUGGCACUCCCGAAACCAUGAGAUCCCUCAAGCAAGGAACCAUUGUUUUCGAGCUCCGGAGCAGAAGUGCAGCGACUUUGAUAUCAAGAAUGAGUGGCUCAAAACUGGUGGCAAGGGCUGAGAUGCCAUGGAAAGAUGUCGUUGGCGUGCCGGUCCACGACAAGUGGGUCGUCAUGACUGCAAAAAACAGCUACGUGUAUAAUGAUGAAGUGAAGCCCCCGGGUAUACAGAUAGCCACUAAAGUUGAAGAAAUUGCAGAGCUGAAGAGAUCAAAGCCGUAUAAUUGCGGUUGCAUGGAUUGUGGAUGCAAUUAUUGCGUAGAUUAUGAUAUCUUUGCAUUAGGAGCUGCUCUAGCAUAUGCAGAAGCUUUUUAGAGACAUGGAAUAGAGAUUAGGGUUAGUUCUUAUAUGAUAUAUAUAUGUAAUACAGAUUAGGAAAAUUUUCCCAAUUUUAACAAAAAUAUACUUGUUCCACUUAUACAUAUAUAGCAAUACGUCAUAUGCUUAUAUAUUAAAUAGCUAGAAAAUGAAAUGCGAAAAUUAUAACGAAUUGUCAAAUAUUUAUUUUGGAAAAUCUGAAAGAGUACCGAUCAUUGAAAAUAGUUGUGAAUAGGAAAAUAAGUGUACCGCUGAUGUUGAAUUCCUACUAAGAUUAACAUGGAGACACACACAUACUUGGGCGUACGUUUUCGUGGAUAUUGACUAAUUAGAUUAACAUGUGUACGUAAUUUGACUUGCAUUUAAUUAGUUCUAUGCAAUAAUUUUAUCUUUUUU
rnacentral:lncRNA from 1 species